rnacentral:rRNA from 1 species
CACACGACUCUCGGCAAUGGAUAUCUCGGCUCUCGCAUCGAUGAAGAACGUAGCGAAAUGCGAUACCUGGUGUGAAUUGCAGAAUCCCGCGAACCAGCGAGUCUUUGAACGCAAGUUGCGCUCGAGGCCACUCGGCCGAGGGCACGCCUGCCUGGGCGUCACGC